rnacentral:lncRNA from 9 species
GUGAGUGUUAAAUCUCCGUAAAGCACCCAGCCUGUGCCUAGAGAGGCUCAAAGUGUGUUACUUUUCUUUCUUCCCUCCCCUGGGCCUUCAAUACUAGAUGCCAGUCCUUGGCACAGUCACCCCUCCCCCACACAUCAUCUUUCUGUGAAUCCAGAAGCUUGACCACAGUGCUCAUGGCAAUGCCGGAUCCUUAACCCACUGAGCAAGGGCAGGGAUCGAACCUGCAACCUCAUGGUUCCUAGUCAGAUUCAUUAACCACUGUGCCACGAUAGGAACUCCUGCCCAUCCAUUCUAAAUGUUCCAGUUUGCUUCCAAAAACCCUGAAUUGCCCAUCCAACCCAUUCCCUCCCCCUCCCCCCUUGGACCCACAAGUCUCCUCUCCUUGGCCAUGAUCUGUUUCUAUUUUGUAUAUAGGAUCAUCUGUGCCAUAUUUUAGAUUCCGCAAAUAAGUGAUAUCAUAUGGUAUUUGUGUUUUUCUUUUUGGCUUACUUAGUAUGAGAAUCUCUAGUUCCAUCCAUUUUGCUGUAAAUGGCAUUAGUUUUUUUUUAUGGCUAAGUAGUAUUCCAUCGUGUAUAUAUACCACAUCUUCUUAAUCCAUUCAUCUGUUGAUGGACAUUUUGGUUGUUUCCAUGUCUUGGCUAUUGCAAAUAGUGCUGUGAUGAACAUAGAGGUGCAUGUAUCUUUUUCAGUGAAAGUUUUGUCUGGAUAUGUACCCAGGAAUGGGAUUGCUGGAUCAUAUGGUAGUUUUAUAUUUAGUUUUCUGAUAUAUGUCCAUACUGUUUUCCAUAGUGGUUGUACCAAUUUACAUUUCCACCAGCAAUGAAGGAGGGUACCCUUUUCUCCACAUCCUCUCCAGCAUUUGUUACUUUUUUGAUGUUAUUUUUUGAUCAUUAACAAAUCUGAUCUCCAGAUUUGUAAAUGAUGGCCAUUCUGACAGGUGUGAGGUGGUACCUCAUUGUAGUUUUGAUUUGCAUUUCUGUAAUAAUUGUCGAUGGUGAGCAUUUUUCAUGUGCCUGUUGGCCGUCCUUCUUUGGAGAAUUGUCUAUUUAGGUCUUUUUGCCGAUUUUUCAUUUGGGUUGUUUUUUGUUGUUGUUGUUGAGUUGUAUGAGUUGUUUGUAUAUUUUGGAAAUUAGGCCCUUUUCUGUUGCGUCAUUUGCAAAGAUUCUCUCCCAUUCUGUGGGUCAUGUUUUCAUUUUUUAAUGGUUUCCUUUGCUGUGCAAAAGCUUUUGAGUUUAAUUAGGCCCCAUUGGUUUUUUUGUGUCUUUAUUGCCCUUAUUUUAGGGGGUGGAUCAAACAAGAUGUUACUGUGAUUUAUGCCAAAGAACUUUCUGCCUAUAUUUCACUCUAAGAGUUUUAUAGUAUCUGCCUUUAUAUUUAGGUCUUUAAUCCAUUUUAAGUUUAUUUUUGUGUAUGUUGAUAAAGGGUGUUCUAUUUUAUUCUUUUAUGUGUAGCUUUCCAGUUUUCCCAGCACCAUUUAUUGAAGAGACUGUCUUUCUUCCACUAUAUGUUCUUGCCUCCUUUGCAUUAGUUGACCAUAGAUUAGUUGACCGUAGAUGCUUGGGUUUUUUUCCCUGGGCUUUCUAUCCUGCUCCAUUGACACACAUUUCUGUUUUUGUGCCAGUACCAUAUUGUUUUGAUAACUGUAGCUUUGUAGUAUUGUCUGAAGUCAGGAAGCUUGAUUCCUCCAUUUUCAUUUUUCUUUUUCAAUAUUCCUUUGGCUAAUCAAAGUCUCUUGUGUUGCCAUACAAAUUUUAAAAUAUUCUGUUCCAGUUCUGUGAAGAAUGUCCUUGGUAAUUUGAUAGGGAUUGCAUUGAAUCUGUAGAUUGCCUUGGGUGGUAUAGUCACUUUGACAAUAUUGAUUCCUCUAAUCCAAGGGCAUGGUAUGUCUUUCCACUUGUUUGUGUCAUCUUUGAUUUCUUUCAUCAGCAUCUUAUAGUUUUCAGAGUAUAGAUCUUUUGUCUCUUGAGGUAGGUUUAUUCUUAGGUAUUUUAUUAUUUUUGAUGUGAUGGUAAAUGGGAUGGUUUCCUUGAUUUCUAUUUCUGGUCUUUCAUUGUUAGUGUAUAGAAAUGUAAUGGAUUUCUGUGCGUUAAUUUUGUAGCGGAAACUUUCCCAAAUUCAUUGAUGAGUUCUAACAGCUUUCUGGUGCUGUCUUUAAGGUUUUCUAGGUAUAGUAUCAUGUCAUCUGCAAACAGUGAUAGUUUUACUUCUUUUCUGAUUUGGAUUCCUUUUUUUUCUUUUUCUUCUCUGAUUGACAUGGCUAGGACUUCCAAAACUAUAUUGCAUAAUAGUGGUGAAAGUGGACAUCAUUGUCUUAUUCCUGAUAUUAGCGGAAAUGUUUUCAAUUUUUCACCAUUGAGAAUGAUGUUGGCUCUGGGUUUUUCAUGUAUGGCUUUUAUUAUAUUGAGGUAGGUUUCCUCCAUGCCCACUCUCUGGAGAGUUUUUAUUGCAAAUCAUUGCUAAAUUUUGUCACAAGCCUUUUUUGCAUCUAUCGAGAUGAUCAUAUGGUUUUUAUUUUUCAGUUUGUUGAUGUGGUGUACCACAUUGAUUGACUUAUGGAUAUUGAAGUAUCCUUGCAUCCCUGGGAUAAAUACCACUUGAUCGUGGUGUAUGAUCUUUUUAAUAUAUAUUUGGAUUUGGUUUGAUAGUAUUUUGUGGGGAUUUUUUCAUCUAUGUUCAUCAGUGAUAUUGGUCUGUAAUUUUUCUUUUUCUUUUUUUUGUGGUAUCCUUGUCUGGUUUUGGUAUCAGGGUGAUGGUAGCCACAUAGAAUGAGAUUGGGAAUGUUCUUUCCUCUGCUAUUUUUUGAAAGACAGAAGACAGAAUGUAGAUUUCUAGAGUGCUUAUGACUUCACUAAACCAGUAAAAUCACAUAAAAUCAAAUAUGUGGAUGUUGUUACAGUUUAAAAUCCCCACUUGACUUUUCUGCUAUCCCUACAUCCUAUAAAUAAUACUGACAAUACUGAAAAUUAAGUAUCUUUUAUGAGUAACAGAAGUGUAUCAUAAUAAAAAAUUUAUGGUUAUUUACUGAUAGAAAUUGAGAAUACAUAAGAUUAAAACACUAGAUGCAUGAAACCAUUAUCCUUCAUAAUAAAAACUCUUAGCAAACCAGGAAUAGAAACGAGUGUCUUCAACUUAAUAAAAGCCUAUAUAUACAUCUACCAAAAAACCCAUAGCUAACAUCUUACUUAAUGAGGAAAGAAAUACUGAAUACUCUCUCCUUAAGAUAGGAAACUGGGCUGAUGUCUGCUCUCCCCAUUCCUAUUCAACAAUGUGCUAGAGGUUCUAGUUGGUGCAGUGUGGAAAGUAAAAAAAAAAAAAAAAAAAAAA